CCUACGGGCGACAGCAGUGGGGAAUAUUGGGCAAUGGGCGAAAGCCUGACCCAGCAACGCCGCGUGAAGGAAGAAGGCUUUCGGGUUGUAAACCUCUUUUGACAGGGAAGUGCAGACGACUGUACCUGUCUAAUAAGCCACGGCUAACUACGUGCCAGCAGCCGCGGUAAUACGUAGGUGGCAAGCGUUGUCCGGAUUUACUGGGUGAAAAGGGCGUGUAGCCGGGCUGACAAGUCAGAUGUGAAAUCCGGGGGCUCAACCCCCGAACUGCAUUUGAAACUGUCGGUCUUGAGUAUCGGAGAGGAAGGCGGAAUUCCUGGUGUAGCGGUGAAAUGCGUAGAUAUUAGGAAGAACACCAGUGGCGAAGGCAGCCUGCUGGACGACAACUGACGGUGAGGCGCGAAAGCGUGGGGAGCAAACAGGAUUAGAUACCCGAGUAGUC
rnacentral:rRNA from 1 species